UAAAAUAUACAAAACCAAAAUUCAAUCAAUUCUUCGAUUACAUUAUCGUCUAAACCUAGACUUGUGAGAUUUACCUCCUUCUCCUCCAAAUCCAAUCGUAACCUUAGACCCUCAUUCAUCAAUGGAGGCGAAGAACGAGCAAGUUGCAGAGUUUUGGUGUCUGAAGUCUAAUCGAGGUAGCAAUCCAGUCGUCGAAGCGCAUGGCGGUUCCGGCCAAUCCAGUCGUCGAAGAAGAAGAGCACGAAGGUCCCACACAUCAUCCUACUGCACCGUCACACGAGUCGCCGUGACGCGAAACGAAGACACUGAGAUCCAAAUCCACACUUCCCCAUGAAGUUCAACGUUGCAAAUCCCACUAGUGGAUUCUAGAAGAAGCUGGAAAUCUAUGAUGACGUGAAGCUAUAAUUUCUUCCCCUAUUUCACUUUUUAUGUUGUUUCUAUUCACAAGAUUUGUUAUUCUAUUAACUAAAUUGUGUUGUGAAUUCCAGUCGUGCUUUUUGGGACAAGAGGAUCUCUCAAGAGGUUAAUGGUGAUGCUUUGGGAGAGGAAUUUAAAGGCUAUGCUUUCCAAAUUACUGGAGGGUGUGACAAGCAAGGUUUUCCAAUGAAGCAAGGAGUGUUAAAUCCCAGCCGUGUCCGCCUCUUGCUCCACCGAGGUUAGCAGUGAAGAUGCAGUUAACAUGGCUAGGACAUUGGCUGUAAAAGAAAGACUCAUGGUUGGCAUAUCGUCCGGAGCUAACACGGUUGUAGCACUUAGAUUGGCUAGUCUUCCUAUUUAAAUGACCGAUGCAUAACAAAGAGUUAUUAUUUAAAUGACCGACAUCUGAAAAUAAGUAACAGAACUUGAUUAAAGUAUGAAGGUGAAUGGGUUCGAAACGACCCCGAGGGUCAUGGUGUUGUUGAAGUUGAAAUACCAGUUAUACUGUUCCUGGAUCCAAGUAUGCAUCUCUGAAGUCUUGCAAAUGGACGGUACGAAAUCCCCUAUUAUGAGAGGAAAGCAUGGAUUGAGGAAUUUGGAGAAAAGCCGUUGGCGUUCAAAGCCUAUUUUAUUCUUGGUGCUGACAUGGGUUGUUGAAAAGGUUUGAGAAUUCCAACAGACAAGUCACAUUCUCAAAGAAGGUUAACAAUGUUUUGUGAACUAUGUAGAAAAAGAUGCAGCUAUCUAGCAAGAAGAGGAUAAGGACAUAGAAAUGUUGCCAAAACAAAAGCCAAAGAAGAAGAAGAAGAAAACUUAUAUAUGAAGAAAGUGUUAUGACUUAGUUAAAAUAUAAUUUUUAUGUGUAUGAUUUUAUAGUACUUGAAAUAUUAUGACUGCACAUGAUUUUGUAUACUUUUUGGUUAAUAUUAAAAAUAUUUUGACUUAGUUAAAAUAUGAUUUUUAUGUGUAUGAUUUUAUAGUAUUUGCAAUAUUAUGACUGAAAAUGAAAUAUAACUAAAUAGUGU